GCCUGGCACAGUGGCGUGUGCCUGUAGUCCUAGCUUCUCAGGAGGCUGAGGCUGGAGGAUCGCUUGAGUUCAGAAGUUCUGGGCUGUAGUGUGCUAUGCCAAUUGGGUGUCCACACUAAGUUUGGCAUCAAUAUGGUGACCUACUGGGAGUAGGAGACCACCAGGUUGCCUGAGGAGGGGUGAACCGGCCCAGGUUGGAAACGGAGCAGGUCAAAACUUCUGUACUGAUCAGUAGUGGGAUUGGAGUGCCUGUGAAUAGCCACUGCACUCUAGCCUGGGCAAUGUAGCGAGACCCAGUCCCU
rnacentral:SRP_RNA from 1 species